rnacentral:rRNA from 1 species
AUGGUCAGCUGGCCUGACAUCUGCAAGCCCCGGGAGCAGGGUGGCCUGGGUAUCAUGUGCUCCAAGCGAAUGAACAUCGCUCUCCUCUCCCGUUGGCUCUGGCGCAUCACCCAGGGCCAGGGUGGCCUCUGGCUGGACAUCAUCCGGACUAAAUACCUUCGGGGUCAGCCCCUUGCUUUCUGCCAGCGAUCGGGCGGCUCC